GCCCCCAUCGUCUAGUGGCCAAGGAUGCCGGCUUCUCGAGCCGGAGACCGGGGUUCGAAUCCCCGUGGGGGCA
rnacentral:tRNA from 1 species